rnacentral:rRNA from 1 species
AACGAACGCUGGCGGCAGGCCUAACACAUGCAAGUCGAGCGCUACCUUCGGGUGGAGCGGCGGACGGGUUAGUAACGCGUGGGAAUAUGCCCUUCUCUACGGAAUAGCCUCGGGAAACUGAGAGUAAUACCGUAUACGCCCUACGGGGGAAAGAUUUAUCGGAGAAGGAUUAGCCCGCGUUGGAUUAGGUAGUUGGUGGGGUAAUGGCCUACCAAGCCUACGAUCCAUAGCUGGUUUGAGAGGAUGAUCAGCAACACUGGGACUGAGACACGGCCCAGACUCCUACGGGAGGCAGCAGUGGGGAAUCUUAGACAAUGGGCGCAAGCCUGAUCUAGCCAUGCCGCGUGAGUGAUGAAGGCCUUAGGGUCGUAAAGCUCUUUCGCUAGGGAAGAUAAUGACGGUACCUAGUAAAGAAGUCCCGGCUAACUCCGUGCCAGCAGCCGCGGUAAUACGGAGGGGACUAGCGUUGUUCGGAAUUACUGGGCGUAAAGCGUACGUAGGCGGAUUGGAAAGUAUGGGGUGAAAUCCCAGGGCUCAACCCUGGAACUGCCUCAUAAACUAUCAGUCUAGAGUUCGAGAGAGGUGAGUGGAAUUCCGAGUGUAGAGGUGAAAUUCGUAGAUAUUCGGAGGAACACCAGUGGCGUAGGCGGCUCACUGGCUCGAUACUGACGCUGAGGUACGAAAGUGUGGGGAGCAAACAGGAUUAGAUACCCUGGUAGUCCACACCGUAAACGAUGAAUGCCAGACGUCGGGUAGCAUGCUAUUCGGUGUCACACCUAACGGAUUAAGCAUUCCGCCUGGGGAGUACGGUCGCAAGAUUA